CCUGCCAGUAGUCAUAUGCUUAUCUUAAAGAUUAAGCCAUGCAUGUCUAAGUAUAAACAAAUUUAUACUGUGAAACUGCGGAUGGCUCAUUAAAUCAGUUAUAGUUUAUUUGAACGAUGCAAACACUACUUGGAUAACCGUAGUAAUUCUAGAGCUAAUACAUGCGUGAAAUCUCGACUAUGCAAAUGGAAGAGAUGUAUUUAUUAGUUGUGCAAUUGAAACCAACUGCAAUAAUGUGAUUGGAUGAUGAUUCAUAAUAACUGUUAGCGGAUCGCAUGACCUUCAGAGUCGGCGACAAUUCAUUCAAAUUUCUGCCCUAUCAACUUUCGAUGGUAAUGUAGUGGAUUACUAUGGUCGUAACGGGUGACAGAGAAUUUUGGUUCGAUCCUGGAGAGGGAGCCUGAGAGACGGCUGCCACUUCUAAGGAAGGCAGCAGGCGCGCAAAUUACCCAAUCCCGACACGGGGAGGUAGUGACGAGAAAUAACAAUACAGAGCGGCGCAAGCUGUUUUGUAAUUGGAAUGAGUACAAUUUAAACGCCUUAACAAGUAACAAUUGGAGGGCAAGUCUGGUGCCAGCAGCCGCGGUAAUUCCAGCUCCAAUAGCGUAUAUUAAAGUUGUUGCAGUUAAAAAGCUCGUAGUUGAAAUUAAAUUUAUUUUAUCUUAGUUUUGUGUUGAUUUGUAAUCGAUAAAAAGAUUUGCGAUACAAGAUGAUGAAAUAAAUUUUUAAUUAAUAUUUUUCUAGUUAUAUAAGUAUGAUGGUUUUUAAAUAAACGGCAUUACUAGAAUGACUAGAACGUUUACUGUGAAAAAAUUAGAGUGUUUAAAGCAGGCCAAGCGGGUUAAACCGUAAUCAUGGCCACUGUAUAGUACAGCAUGGGAUAAUAGAACAAGAUUUUCUUGCUUAAGUUUUUGUUGGUUUUUAAAAGUUUAAGCUGCAAAUUCGCACGAUAAAGAAGGAAAGUAAUGAUUAAUAGAGAUGGUUGGGGGCACUUAUAUUUAAUUGUCAGAGGUGAAAUUCUUGGAUUUAUGAAAGAUAAACUUCAGCGAAGGCAUUUGUCAAAGAUGUUUUCAUUAAUCAAGAACGAAAGUUAAGGGAUCGAAGAUGAUCAGAUACCGUCGUAGUCUUAACCGUAAACGAUGCCGACCACGGAUCAGACAAACAAAACCUUGUUUUUAAAAGGGCAAGGAAAUCGCUUACAUCGCAAGAUGUGGAAUGAUAUGUUUGGCACGUUAUGAGAAAUCAUAAGUUUUCAGGUUCCGGGGGGAGUAUGGUCGCAAGACUGAAACUUAAAGGAAUUGACGGAAGAGCA
rnacentral:rRNA from 1 species